CUUCACCGCACCCAGCCACAACGGCCGCUCCGCAGAAUGCGCCUGACCAUAGGUGGCCAGCAGCGCCUGUGCCUC
rnacentral:antisense_RNA from 18 species